AUUUGAACAACGGUGACAGCGACUUAACAAGAUUUGAAACAGCCAGAUAUCUUUGGCCAUUUGCUACACAGAGGGUGGAGGAGCAUAAUGAAUCUAAGUGAAGCUGGUAUGGCUUAAAAACAAUAAAUCACUUACUGAAGAUCUGUCAGCAAGACGUCAUCACAUCCCAGGUGAAUCUCUGCUCAGGCAUUGAGUAAACGCGAGUGGUAUCCCUACUCAAGGGGAGAUUCUGAUGUGCAGCCAGCUGCUUGCAAGGAGAACUCUCAAAGGGGUUCUCAGGCUACCUGCAAUUUAUGGGGGUGUUCCACUCCUCCGUAACACCGAGAUGAUCAGAGCCCUGGCAGGGCAGCGGUCUGUCCAACUGCCAGCAGAGAAGCUCUGACCUGACAGCAGACUCAAUCUUCUGGUCUGAUGGACGAUGGUGGUGCCAGCACAUGUGUCUUCUGGAAGAUAGGAAUGUGGAUCUCACACAGCAGUAGGACUUUUUUUCCCUUUACAAUGGCCGAGCAGAGCAGCAGCAGUGCCAUUGAUUCCUGCUGUUGCCGCCCUGCUGAACGCCAAGACAGAUAAACUGUGGGAUGUUCUUAGCAGCUCCUCCAUGGGGUAGUAAGAUAAACAUGAGAAACAUAAGGAGAUAUUAAAGAGUAGAUUAUAAUCCAUUUUCAGGAAACAGCAUUUUCUCCAGCAAGAGAGACUGAACUUUAUCAAAGGGGAAACUUCUCCAGGAGGACUUGCCAAAGUAAAUCUCUUUGAUGCAAAUGGUUUAAGCAAAGACAUUCACCUUAAUCUACUGUGUGGUGACCUGCUCUUCUGAUACAAAGAAUAAUUAUGGGUGUUUUCGGAAUUGCUGUGGUCUGCAAAUCCUCCAAAUCUAAGUUCUUAAUGUUCCCGCUUCACCACUCUGAUCUUGGUCACCCACAUUUCUUGUAAUUUUGGCCUUGCUUAAUGCCUUUAGGUGUUGUUACUUGGAAAGACUUCACUGCCUUUUGAAGGACAGAUCAAAAAAUAACAAGCUUUUUUUUUUUUUUACCUUUACAUUUAAUUGUUGUGCCUGGGUCUAAUAAAGUGAAUGACCCACAAAUAACUUGAUCGAAGUGCAGAACACAGUGGAGUGGAGAAGACGAGUGUUUAGCUGUUGAAAUCAAUACUUUCAUGCAGAUUGAUGUCUGUGCCAGUUUGCCAUCCCGGACGUUUUCAGUUUAGUUUAUUUGUGUUACAGUAGUAGUGACAAUGUAGUUAAAUAUAGCCUCUGAAAACAGGAUCUCUGCUUGUUUCAUUUGUAUUCUACUGUUCUUUCAUUAAACAUUUCUUCAUCUUUGCAGAGCCAAAUUCUUACAAUAAUAAAUCAGAGACACCUAAAGUUCUUGCCAAGUCAAAUAUCUACAGUUUCUGGCAAUUAUGUAAUUUCCAGAUUUGCUACAAUGACUCUUGCCGAUAAGUCAAUUGUCAUAAAAAGAAAUGUUCCAGACCAAUCUUUAUUAGGGUGUCCUUCACUGAUCUGUGUAAAAUAAUCCCCCUCCAGCCCCACUUUCUUUUAGAAAAGAGAAACAUAAUUACAGCUUUUUCCCUUGCUAUGAAUGACUCUUCAUCAUAACAAUUUAUAUCUGGAAAAUGUCACAAGAAAAUGUGAAAAAGGUAAGUUUAAACCAAAGAAAUCAGGAACUGCUGUUAUUAAUAGAACAGCUCAGAAAUGUUUCCCAUGAUGUGUUAUAAUGGCUC
ensembl:lncRNA